UACGAAGGGUGCAAGCGUUAAUCGGAAUUACUGGGCGUAAAGCGUGCGUAGGCGGUUUGUUAAGUCUGUUGUGAAAGCCCUGGGCUCAACCUGGGAAUGGCAAUGGAAACUGGCGAGCUAGAGUCAGGUAGAGGGUGGUGGAAUUCCCGGUGUAGCAGUGAAAUGCGUAGAGAUCGGGAGGAACACCAAUGGCGAAGGCAGAUCUCUGGGCCGUAACUGACGCUGAGGAGCGAAAGCAUGGGGAGCGAACAGG
rnacentral:rRNA from 1 species